rfam:Botryobasidium botryosum FD-172 SS1 unplaced genomic scaffold BOTBOscaffold_41, whole genome shotgun sequence.
GGCCGGGUGGCGUAAUGGCAACGCGUCUGUUUCCGGUUAUCUAAUUGAAAAUCUCAGCAGGAGAUUGUGGGUUCGAGUCCCAUCCUGGUCG